GGCUCGGUGGCUUAAUGCUUAAGAGUUAGGCUUUGAGAUCAAGAGGUCCCGGGUUCGAAUCCUGGCCAGGGCUU